ACCCUAGAUAAGCAGAUGGUAAUGGAUAGAUGGAUAAUGAAACAUGAAUUACUUUUCAAUAAUGAGGGAAAAAAAUACACAUUGGAAACAAUUGUCGUCGUCGUCACUAGAUGGUGCCAUCGGAUAAGAGAAAUGCUCCGGAAAGAGACAAAGCACAUUUUUACCAUAGUCAUUGGGACAGUUUGUUUUGACAGAUUACUUUUCUUUUAUCUUAUGUUAUCUUGUCAAAGCUCUACGUGCGAGAUCUGUCUAUACCAAGGGAACGGUUACAAUCAGACUUUCAAAAAUGGGCAUUUACCACUGAACACAUUUUAGUUAACUUUUCAAGAUGGUUGCGGCCACUAAUCAACCAUAGAAAAUAAAAGAUACAUAUAAAUAUGUACAUUUUAUAGGUACUGAGCUAAAAUCCAAUCUAGUGGAAGCUGAGUGCAUCACACCAGAGCUUUCGAUGAAUGUGGAAUAGCAUGAUCAUUGUAGGUAUUUAACAACUCCAUCUCUAAACAUAAGUUGAUUUUAGUUUAACCAUCUGCUAUCAAAGACAGCAGAAGAUAUGCAGCCUUUAAAUGAAUGCUCAGUAUUUGGUGUUGUUUGACUUUCACCGCAAAAUCUUUCGUUAUUUAAGUGUUUAUGACAUGAUUCCCAGAAGCCUGAAUCCUGCCAGUACAUGACUCAGGCUGGGUGACAGUGUGUUUAUAUUUUAUAUUAUAGUUUAUAUUUUGUUAACAGUGUCACCGUUUGCCUAAUAGAGUUCCCCCGUGAAACAAUUGUUACGACCACUGAGUACCUGAGUGCAGUUUACACAGCCUUGCAGCCCCUCUUCAUUCAGGACCAUGGACAGCACCAUCACCCCUGCUCCACUACCCUUUGGGCAGUUCCAGAACACAUACCUGGUUCCCACUUUUGCUCCCACCACACAUUUAUUUAGAUGUGUUAGCCCCAACUGGUGAUUCCUAUUCCAGAAGUGGUGCAACACAACUGCUGUGACAACAACCCAGUAAUUUAACAUUUUUUUAAGUGGCAUUUUGCAGCAUUUAGAGACAUCAGUGACCAAUGUUAAAGAGCAAGUCACCCCCAAAUCAACUUAUUUUUGCUGAUAAACUAUAUAAAUGAGUGUCUAAUCAUGCUGUAGACACGUGUAGUCAAUAAUUUGAUACUUUACCGCAUCUUAGUUCAAAUUAAAACUUUCUGCCUAAAUAUGUUAAUGUUGCGCCGUUGUCAGGUAAAAAUUCUGCACUACAUUUGAAUUUAAAUCUGACAUCACUAUUGGCUAAAAGGUACACGAUGAUGUUAAUUGGUACAUUAUGAUGUCACAAUGCUGUUGUGAGCCUGUGUGUGUAUAUUUGUUAGCGGCUCUGCCCUCUCGGUCUGCUAGGCAACAGCAUUUGUUGCAUUUAGACUCUGGUAGGGGAUGACUUGCACUUUAAGUGUUCUUAGGACAUCAUCUAGUUAAAUUUACAGGGACGGCAAAUUCUACUCUUUGGAGCUUUUGAUCACGUUAUAUUGUUAUUUCCAAAGCAGUUGUUGGCUUCACAUAUGCAUUUUCCUGUUUCAUUUGCACAUCUUCAACUGCAAACCUUCUGCUGGCUUGCUUUCAUGUUUUUGACACUUUAAUCCAGGGGUGGAACCCUGCUCCAUCAAGGGCCGGUAUCUAGCAUAUUUUAGUUUCAACCCUGCUUCAACACACCUGAUUUCAUCAGCAGAUGAUUAACAGGCUUCUGCAGAGCUUGAUGAGCUGCAGCACAGGUGAAGUGUUAGAGCAAAGACAUGCAGGACACCGGCCCUCGAGGACCAGAGUUCCCCAUGCCUGCCUUAAUCUAAUAUUUGAAAUGUUUCCCAGCCUUCCUUAAUGUCUACAAGAGUGAUUCAUCUCUAAAUUACACAAAUCAGCUGUGUUCACAAUCUAAACACAUGCAGAAAACGUGUUGGAGGCAGUGUGCAGCACCAGGUAUGUCAGCUCAAUUUUUUUUUAAGUCCUCACAGAGCAGCCCACAAGUCUGAAGUGGAAUAUUCUGGCCACAACCCAAGCACAAAGCCAUGAUCUUCUCACGGACAUAAACUAAAAUAAAAGCAUUCGUAUCUUGCUUUGGUUUAACUUGACAUUUUUUUUUACUUUUCAUUCAUAAUUUGCCAUUUCUGUUUUGAUUUUUGAGUAUUCCUUCCUUAACCAUUCCUUCAACAAGCUUUAGAUCAGUGCUUUAUGUUUUACUCACCUCUGGUUUUCUGACAAUCAGUUAGUGAAGGAAGACAGUCAGCCUCCAGUUCUGGUAGAGAUGUUAUUUUGAUAAAAAAAAAAAAGAACCAAUUUCCCUUAAUGGUGGUGAGAAGCCAAAAGGCAUGACGUUGUAUCAAGGUAAAGGUUUGUGCUAUCCAGAAAAUAAAAACUCUUACAAUUUGGCACUUUUUAAGAUACAAACUGCUUAAAGUUAUAAAUAAAAGUCCAUUUUGGACUUCGUUUGCAAUCCAGUUUGAAAAAAAAAUGUUAGGAUGAUGCACCAAAAGGGUGAUCAGCCCUUGUUUGAACUUCUAAAUCAAAUAUUUAAUAAAGAAACAAUGCAGAGACUGAAACCAAAGACCAUUGGAUCUUCAUCUAGAUUAAAACAUUCUUUUCCAGUCAAGUGCUGAAAGGAUACAAUUUCCAUUCAGUCACUUUGCAUUCUGAGCAGCUCAUGAGACGUCCUUCCAAACCACUGAAAUAUCAUUAUUGUGAAAACAGUUAUAUCCUUUAUUUUAUGACUGCCACUCUUCAGUUUUGUGGAAGGUGAACGAGGACCCAUUACCCUAUUCACUUUGUAAUCCCCACCCCUUUUUUAUUAGCAGCAUAAUGACACAAAUACAUUAUCAGAGCUAAUCAGAGCCAAAUGAAGAAAAGUAGUGGAGUGAGACUAAAGGAAUUGCCUUUUUCUCCCCUUCUUCUGCUGACAGGCUCAUGUUAAAAUUUCCCCAGCCAAUUUCCCCUCCACUUCUUCUGUCUUUUAUAUUCUAGUUUUUUUUUCCAUCGCCACGAUCCCCAGCGCCCAUUUGUUUUUUUGCUCUCCAUUUUUAAUCCUGAUCGCCAUCCUCUCUGACUUUCUCCUUUCCCUCACAUCUCUCUUUUCCCCCUCACUGUGUCUCUUCUCUCUACCUCUUUCCUCUUCUACCCCCCACCCCCCACCCCCCAUCUCGGGGGAUUGCCUAUUUGAAAUUCCACUUGUGUGUUGGAGCGGCAGGAUGGAUUAGGGCAUGGACAGGCCCCACAAACCACCCUGAUCUACAGGACAGCUUUUCAAUCACUUCUCCAAUGCAGUUCCACCUAUAUAAACACACCUAGAGGGAAAGGGCCACAGAGAGAGAAAAAAAUGAAAAUAAAACUGAGAUAAAAACAAACAGAAAAGGACAAAUGUAUAAUUUUAAGAAGAUUCAUCGCAGUUGUACAAACAGGCUGAAAUAUUAGGGAAUAGGCUACGUUUUACACGUAGGUGUUUUAUGGCACAUGAGCCAUCUAAAAGUGACAACAAUGGCUCCUUUGCACCUGUAAUAGCUAAACGUGCUUCACAAUGGCUGGCCUGCAAUGAUGUCACUUUAGCUUUGUUGUGUGUCCCAGUUUGGCUUUUUUUUGUCUGCCAUCAUAUUCGUUUAAACACUGUUGCACCUUGGUACUUUUUUAGUAAAAACUUACAGAUCCUCCUUUUCUUUUUUGUCUACGGGAUCAAUUGCAUGAACUUGCAAUGCUGGCAUCAUAGUGGUGAUGGUGGGGCAGUAUAAAAAGGUUACAAAUGAAAGCGUUUGUUCAUUGCACUCUCGUCAGGUACUCAGUGCAUCGAUUCUGUGUAGCUCAUCAAACAGUUUUGUUGCAAAAGUGACACUUGAACAGUGAUCACCUUCAGGGGGUGAGAUAAUAAGAUGGUGAGUAAUUGUAGUAGUUUAACAAAAUCACUAAUGGUUAAUGCUGUCAUAUAUUUAGAAAGUAUUUGUUAUCGUCUGUGUUUAAUCAGUAGGAACGGUCAGUAGGAAAUCUGUAUAUCUAAGAAAGUCAGCAUGUUGUAACAAUUUACAAGCCUAGGCUACUUCCUCUUUUGACUUUUAUAGAUAUUCUAUAGAUAUAAAGCUUAAAGUUGGCAUUGCCAUACAUACAAGUAGGGUUGUCACAGUAACCGGUAUAGCGGUAAACCCCGGUAAAAAAGUUGACAAUAAAAAUAACCGUCCAGUUUUUAAAAAAACUAUAUUAUCUCGGUGGGUUUACCGUGGCCGCGGUUUCAGCGCGGUGACCCUUACCAGCCACCGUCGCUUCAGCUGAAGUUCCCGCGGCGCGCACACGCACUUUUUAGUUUGCAACGGCACCAAAACUUUGAAGCUGAAAUAAUGGCCGAAGGAGGAGACGGCAGCGCCCAGGACAUCCAUCAGCCCUCAAAGAAGACUAAAUCGGAAGUAUGGGCAUAUUUUGGAUUUCUGAAAAAUGCUGAGGGACAGUUAAUAGAAGACGGCUAUCCCGUUUGCAGAACAUGCAGGAAACAAGUGUCUGCAAAAGGCAGCAACACUUCGAAUCUAAUGGCACAUCUGCGUGACCAUCACCCACGUCUCUACAGCCAGUGCAAGGUAAGUUAACAUUAGCAUUUUAGCUUAAAUGCAUGACGUGAGGACUUUUGGUUGAGGGAGA
rnacentral:lncRNA from 1 species